rnacentral:rRNA from 1 species
UGGGGAAUAUUGCACAAUGGGCGCAAGCCUGAUGCAGCCAUGCCGCGUGUAUGAAGAAGGCCUUCGGGUUGUAAAGUACUUUCAGCGGGGAGGAAGGCGAUAAGGUUAAUAACCUUGUCGAUUGACGUUACCCGCGGAAGAAGCACCGGCUAACUCCGUGCCAGCAGCCGCGGUAAUACGGAGGGUGCAAGCGUUAAUCGGAAUUACUGGGCGUAAAGCGCACGCAGGCGGUCUGUCAAGUCGGAUGUGAAAUCCCCGGGCUCAACCUGGGAACUGCAUUCGAAACUGGCAGGCUAGAGUCUUGUAGAGGGGGGUAGAAUUCCAGGUGUAGCGGUGAAAUGCGUAGAGAUCUGGAGGAAUACCGGUGGCGAAGGCGGCCCCCUGGACAAAGACUGACGCUCAGGUGCGAAAGCGUGGGGAGCAAACA